UACCAGUUGUGGAAAGCACUUCAGUCUCAUGUCCUAUAAACCAUUUCUCCAAUUGGCCAAGAUCAUUUUGAAUGUUAAUCCUGUCAUCUAAAGUGCAUGCAACCCCUCACAGCUUGAUAUUGUCACACAUUUUGCAAUUCAUGACAUAAAAGUGAUGAGACAGACACUACGCUGCAAUGUUUUCUUGACAGACAUUAACAACUGAUGAUUGAUAUACUAGGAGAAAUAAAAAGAUGCCAAUUAAGCAGUGUGUCAGAGUCUGAGUGGAUAUUCAGGGAUAGCCCCAUGUGAAAACUAUACUUUGUAGGCAUAUAGAGGCCUCCUUGUGUGAAGUGUGAUGCAUCCCUCUGAGAUUCUGAAUGUUCUCUAUUCCCACUGAAGUACCACAGGACUCCACUCCUUGCAGGAUGGGGCUCUUAAAUGGACAAGGAAAAAAGAUAUGCCUUCGUUGUCUAGUAAUUCCUGAGUACAUGUUGCUUUGGAUUCAAAGAAAAGCCAAAACAUCUUUGAGGAGUCUAAUCUAAAAUGUCACUGAAAUGACCAAUCAAUUUAAGAUUACAUUCGGAGAGCGCAAGGCCUUCGACAGAUAAUCUACAGCCUGCCUACCAUAAUCCAGAGGGCUUGGUCCAGUGUCAUCAUCGUGGGACUCCUCACAGUUCCUCUGCCAAGGCUUGCAAUUAGCUGCGGUAUUGAGGUCGUGAGCUCCUCAUCUGUCUACACCACGUGAUUGUAAAGUAUAUACCUUGUGUAUCUAGGGAUCUUUUCUAUCUUCUUAAUUUUCAGGGAUAGGGAGGGAACUGUUUAGGAAGUUAUUACCUGCUGUUCUGUAUUUCAAAUUUUACAAUAUAUGGUUGGGCCCCAAAUUAAGUCUCGUGUGUCUUAUUUCCGGGAAAAGCCGUGUCGGUGAUAGAUACGGCCUCGAGUAAUCAGCCUCAGGCGAGCUCUCUUCUGGGACUUGGGACAUUUAACAUCAUCUCAAGUUAGAGCGCGUCCAAAUUAGGUUUCAAAAUUAAUCAUUACUGCGUCCCAGGGUAACACCCAGGUCACUUCAAUCCUGGACUCCCUCCUUGUUCUUGUCAGUCUCUGGUUUCAUGAGCUCCCUUAUCACUGCUGUCAUUAGCUCUGUCACAUCCUUUGUUGCUUUCAUCCCUGCCAUCUACGCCAACAGACAUCAGAGUGCACUGAAUGAUCAUUAGAACUGGGCAAAGUAUUUCAACUAGUUUAUUUACCCCAAAUAUGUAGUUUUGCUAAGCCUAAAAAGUUGUGAGUUUGAAAGAAAUACUUUUGGCCAUUCACAAAAUGGCCAUAGGAGGCAGCAAUGCUACUCUGCUGUCCCUAUACCCACCCUUUAUAAUCUUUAUCCUAUUGAUUAGGACCUUCACCUGAAAUAUAUGAGACCUAGGUUUUGAAAUCAUGAUCUGGAUAAACAACAAAUGACUUUCAAUUCAUCAAAAAUUAAACAAAACAAAACACAAAUUGCAUUUUUUCACUGCCAAGAAAUAAAAAACAGUUAUUUGUCUAGCUGUACAGGUAAUAUUAACUAAUACAUUGUUCAGCUACAUAGUAUUAGAUCAGCUGUAUUUGAUGAAUGUCAAUUGAAAUAAAAUGACAAAAAUGUGUUAUUCAUCCAAUUGUAUAACCCAUUAAAUUAUAUUCCACAAUGCUUUACUCCUCAAAUAGAUUUGAUAAAUUAUUCAGUAAUCAAGGCAUGCUGUUUAUUAAAGUAAUUUAUACAAAUUACUCAAAUGAGUAGGAUUCCAAACCAAGGAUUUUAAAAAAUAAGAAUAUGAUACAUGCAGGAUCUUUGCAGAAAAGAAAUCUCUAAUUGUUUGUUGUUGAAUGAGAAUAUUAAAGCCAAAGCCCACAGGCUUCAGCCCUAGAAAGUGGGGGGCUCAAGCUCUGGCCCCAGACAAUGGGGUUAGGCUCCUUUACCGCUUGAGGCUGAAGCACAUGGCCCGUCCCCUACGCACUCCCAGGGUUGUGUAAUAUUUAUCAUCAGAAGAAAGUCACAAUGCACUGAAGUUUGAAACCCUCUGGUUCUAUGGGAUUAAAUGAGCAAGCCUGCUGGAUGUCCAAGAUCAAAUAGGUAGAUGCUUGACAUAUGCACUACAUAGUAUAUAUGCAAACUGAUUUAGUGUUUUCUUUGUGGUAAAGUGAAGAGAUUUAAUUUGAGCAUAUCUAGCACUAAUGGUUCUCUUCAUUCCUCCCUCCCCCCCCCCACUUGUUUCUUUAUAAUUGCCAUUAUGCUAUAAGCCAGAGUUCAGAAAUGAUCAAAGAGGAUGCUUAAUGCAGGAGGAAUCUCAUUUCUCUUCUUCUAUAAACAAAAGUUCAAAAGCUUUCUUAUACUCAAAAACACAAAUUAACUUUCUUUAAGUCAGCCACUAGCCUGAGCUUCAUGGGUUCUGGAUUCAAGUACCAGAGUCCUGAGAUUCUAUAACGUGAUAGUUACCUGAUUGGCUUGAAUCGACACGCAAAGAGAAAAAAGUUCACAUCUGAAUACUAAAGUUGUGUAAUAAUUUUGUCAUUUUCUAUACUCUUCAAAGCUGGCUCUAAGUGUACUUGGUAUUACCCUGUUAACUUUUAAGUCUGAACUGAAGUCAGUGGGAGUGAAGCAUGUUUUAAAGUGCUUUGCUUAGGUCCCGAGUCUGCUGGAAACAAAACUACCUUCAGAGAAGUAGCAGUGUUAGCAUGUUUCAGCAAAAACAAGUCCUGUGGCAUCUGAUGAAAUGAGCUGCAGUCCACAUCUUAUGUCCUAAUUAAAUGUGUUAGUCUUUUAGAUGCCACAGGACACUUUUUUUUUUAUGUAGUUUAAGACCUUUGCUGAUCAAACUCCCAAUUUGAAAACUCAAUGGUACUUGGUUAGUGUCUUCUCUGAGGAUAAAUUAAUUGAGGAUAUGGAACCAAAGCUGGGUGUCAAGAAGUAUAUUGCUCUUAAGUGGAAGAAUCAUGGCUGGACAGAGCUACAGGGUGCAAUUAUUGUGCUCUAU